rnacentral:rRNA from 1 species
UACGUAGGGACCGAGCGUUGUCCGGAUUUAUUGGGCGUAAAGAGCUCGUAGGCGGCUUGUCGCGUCGUUCGUGAAAACUUGGGGCUCAACCCCAAGCUUGCGGUCGAUACGGGCAGGCUGGAGUUCGGUAGGGGAGACUGGAAUUCCUGGUGUAGCGGUGAAAUGCGCAGAUAUCCGGAGGAACACCGAUGGCGAAGGCAACUGCCUGGGCCUGAUCUGACACUGAGGCACGAAAGCGUGGGUAGCAAACAGG